GCCUAUGGCCAAACCACCCUGAGAAUGCCUGAUUUCAUCAGAUCUCAGAAGUUUAGCUGGGUUGAACUGGGUUAGUAUUCAGAUGGGGGACUGCCUAGAAAUACCUGGUGUUGUAGGUU
rnacentral:rRNA from 1 species